GAUGAACGCUGGCGGCGUGCCUAAUACAUGCAAGUCGAGCGAACAGACGAGGAGCUUGCUCCUCUGACGUUAGCGGCGGACGGGUGAGUAACACGUGGAUAACCUACCUAUAAGACUGGGAUAACUUCGGGAAACCGGAGCUAAUACCGGAUAAUAUAUUGAACCGCAUGGUUCAAUAGUGAAAGACGGUUUUGCUGUCACUUAUAGAUGGAUCCGCGCCGCAUUAGCUAGUUGGUAAGGUAACGGCUUACCAAGGCAACGAUGCGUAGCCGACCUGAGAGGGUGAUCGGCCACACUAGAACUGAGACACGGUCCAGACUCCUACGGGAGGCAGCAGUAGGGAAUCUUCCGCAAUGGGCGAAAGCCUGACGGAGCAACGCCGCGUGAGUGAUGAAGAUCUUCGGAUCGUAAAACUCUGUUAUUAGGGAAGAACAAAUGUGUAAGUAACUAUGCACGUCUUGACGGUACCUAAUCAGAAAGCCACGGCUAACUACGUG
rnacentral:rRNA from 1 species